UGUAUGUUAAGGUUAAGACUAAUCCUGGUAUUACUUUCUACAAUUAAGGGUUGGGAUAAUUAUGGAACCAUUAGUGUUCUUCGGAGUUCUUUUUUUUAAUGAAUUGGAAGCAUAAUAAACUGUUCAGUGAGUCGUUUCAUCGCAGGACGCUGAAAGUUUUUAUAUCACUCUUCUAUAUUACAUGAAGGGAAGUCUUUGUAUGCCUAUGAUAACCCAUUUUUUUACCUUUAUUAACGAUAUUUUUAACCCUAUGCGGUUAUUCUCGGGAUCAGAAACUUAAUUUCCCUUCCGAAGGAAGUCAUUACUAUAACCUUAAGAUCACAAGUGACUAUCUUUCCUACAACUUGGAACGAGUAUUUCUUUACAGACACGCCGUUUUUU